rnacentral:rRNA from 1 species
CCAGACUCCUACGGGAGGCAGCAGUGAGGAAUAUUGGUCAAUGGGCGCAAGCCUGAACCAGCCAAGUAGCGUGCAGGACGACGGCCCUAUGGGUUGUAAACUGCUUUUGUACGGGGAUAAAACGGCGGACGUGUCCGUCCUUGCAGGUACCGUACGAAUAAGGACCGGCUAAUUCCGUGCCAGCAGCCGCGGUAAUACGGAAGGUCCGGGCGUUAUCCGGAUUUAUUGGGUUUAAAGGGAGCGUAGGCCGGGGAUUAAGUGUGUUGUGAAAUGUAGACGCUCAACGUCUGACUUGCAGCGCAUACUGGUUCCCUUGAGUACGCACAACGUCGGCGGAAUUCGUCGUGUAGCGGUGAAAUGCUUAGAUAUGACGAAGAACUCCGAUUGCGAAGGCAGCUGACGGGAGCGCAACUGACGCUUAAGCUCGAAGGUGCGGGUAUCGAACAGGAUUAGAUACCCUGGUAGUCCGCACGGUAAACGAUGGAUGCCCGCUGUUGGUACCUGGUAUCAGCGGCUAAGCGAAAGCAUUAAGCAUCCCACCUGGGGAGUACGCCGGCAACGGUGAAACUCAAAGGAAUUGACGGGGGCCCGCACAAG